rnacentral:misc_RNA from 1 species
CAGAGUUGCAAAACUCCCUAAACCAUCGCGAACGUACCCUUACCGUUGCUUCGGCGGAGCCCUCGCGGGCGCCCGCCGGCGGCUCUACAAACUCUUUUUUAUUACAGGCCUCUCUGAGUAUUUAUACAAAUCAGUUA